UACGGAGGGGGCUAGCGUUGUUCGGAAUUACUGGGCGUAAAGCGCACGUAGGCGGCUUUGUAAGUUAGAGGUGAAAGCCCGGGGCUCAACUCCGGAAUUGCCUUUAAGACUGCAUCGCUCGAAUUGUGGAGAGGUAAGUGGAAUUCCGAGUGUAGAGGUGAAAUUCGUAGAUAUUCGGAAGAACACCAGUGGCGAAGGCGACUUACUGGACACAUAUUGACGCUGAUGCACGAAAGCUAGGGGAGCAAACAGG
rnacentral:rRNA from 1 species